UGCGUGAAGCUGGAAUCGCUAGUAAUCGGAUAUCAGCCAUGAUCCGGUGAAUACGUUCCCGGGCCUUGUACACACCGCCCGUCAAGCCAUGGAAGCUGGGAGUACCUGAAGUCGGUUACCGCAAGGAGCUGCCUAGGGUAAAACUGGUAACUGGGGCUAAGUCGUAACAAGGUA
rnacentral:rRNA from 1 species